UACAGAGGUCUCAAGCGUUGUUCGGAUUCAUUGGGCGUAAAGGGCUCGUAGGCGGUCCAUCGCGUCGGGAGUGAAAAGCUGGGGCUUAACCCCAGUCCUGCUUCCGAUACGGGUGGACUAGAGGUAGGCAGGGGAGAACGGAAUUCCUGGUGUAGCGGUGAAAUGCGCAGAUAUCAGGAGGAACACCAAUGGCGAAGGCAGCUCGCUGGGACGUGACUGACGCUGAGACGCGAAAGCGUGGGGAGCAAACAGG
rnacentral:rRNA from 1 species